AACGAACGCUGGCGGCAGGCCUAACACAUGCAAGUCGAGCGAGGACUUCGGUUCUAGCGGCGGACGGGUGAGUAACGCGUGGGAAUGUGCCCUUCUCUACGGAAUAGCCCUGGGAAACUGGGAGUAAUACCGUAUACGCCCUAUUGGGGAAAGAUUUAUCGGAGAAGGAUCAGCCCGCGUUGGAUUAGGUAGUUGGUGGGGUAAUGGCCUACCAAGCCGACGAUCCAUAGCUGGUUUGAGAGGAUGAUCAGCCGCACUGGGACUGAGACACGGCCCAGACUCCUACGGGAGGCAGCAGUGGGGAAUCUUAGACAAUGGGGGCAACCCUGAUCUAGCCAUGCCGCGUGAGUGAUGAAGGCCUUAGGGUUGUAAAGCUCUUUCAGCUGGGAAGAUAAUGACGGUACCAGCAGAAGAAGCCCCGGCUAACUCCG
rnacentral:rRNA from 1 species